rnacentral:rRNA from 1 species
CCACAAUGGACGAAGUCUGAUGAGCAACGCCGCGUGAGUGAAGAAGGGUUUGGCUCGUAAAACUCUGUUGUUAAAGAAGAACAUAUCUGAGAGUAACUGUUCAGGUAUUGACGGUAUUUAACCAGAAAGCCACGGCUAACUACGUGCCAGCAGCCGCGGUAAUACGUAGGUGGCAAGCGUUGUCCGGAUUUAUUGGGCGUAAAGCGAGCGCAGGCGGUUUUUUAAGUCUGAUGUGAAAGCCUUCGGCUCAACCGAAGAAGUGCAUCGGAAACUGGGAAACUUGAGUGCAGAAGAGGACAGUGGAACUCCAUGUGUAGCGGUGAAAUGCGUAGAUAUAUGGAAGAACACCAGUGGCGAAGGCGGCUGUCUGGUCUGUAACUGACGCUGAGGCUCGAAAGUAUGGGUAGCAAACAGGAUUAGAUACCCUGGUAGUCCAUACCGUAAACGAUGAAUGCUAAGUGUUGGAGGGUUUCCGCCCUUCAGUGCUGCAGCUAACGCAUUAAGCAUUCCGCCUGGGGAGUACGGCCGCAAGGCUGAAACUCAAAGGAAUUGACGGGGGCCCGCACAAGCGGUGGAGCAUGUGGUUUAAUUCGAAGCUACGCGAAGAACCUUACCAGGUCUUGACAUACUAUGCAAAUCUAAGAGAUUAGACGUUCCCUUCGGGGACAUGGAUACAGGUGGUGCAUGGUUGUCGUCAGCUCGUGUCGUGAGAUGUUGGGUUAAGUCCCGCAACGAGCGCAACCCUUAUUAUCAGUUGCCAGCAUUAAGUUGGGCACUCUGGUGAGACUGCCGGUGACAAACCGGAGGAAGGUGGGGAUGACGUCAAAUCAUCAUGCCCCUUAUGACCUGGGCUACACACGUGCUACAAUGGAUGGUACAACGAGUUGCGAACUCGCGAGAGUAAGCUAAUCUCUUAAAGCCAUUCUCAGUUCGGAUUGUAGGCUGCAACUCGCCUACAUGAAGUCGGAAUCGCUAGUAAUCGCGGAUCAGCAUGCCGCGGUGAAUACGUUCCCGGGCCUUGUACACACCGCCCGUCACACCAUGAGAGUUUGUAACACCCAAAGUCGGUGGGGUAACCUUUUAGGAACCCAGCCAGG